rnacentral:tRNA from 1 species
CUGCUAGUAGCUCAACGGAUGAGCGCCCUUUUCGCAAAGGGGAGGAUGCCGGUUCGAAUCCGGUCUAGCCCU